UACGUAGGUGGCAAGCGUUGUCCGGAAUUAUUGGGCGUAAAGAGCGUGUAGGCGGCUAGGUAGGUCCGCUGUGAAAACUUGAGGCUCAACCUCAAGAGGUCGGUGGAAACCAUCUGGCUAGAGUCCGGAAGAGGAGAGUGGAAUUCCCGGUGUAGCGGUGAAAUGCGCAGAUAUCGGGAAGAACACCCGUGGCGAAGGCGGGUCUCUGGGCCGAAACUGACGCUGAGGAGCGAAAGCUAGGGGAGCAAACAGG
rnacentral:rRNA from 1 species